GUACUGAUGAAGAGUCCCAAAGCAGGACGAAACAGCUGUCCAGUAC
rfam:Trichobilharzia regenti genome assembly, scaffold: TRE_scaffold0033040